rnacentral:sRNA from 1 species
AAUAAAAAUACAAAAAAAA